rnacentral:rRNA from 1 species
GAUGAACGCUAGCGACAGGCUUAACACAUGCAAGUCGAGGGGCAUCGGGACGUAGCAAUACGUUGCCGGCGACCGGCGGAUGGGUGAGUAACGCGUAUGCAACCUGCCCACGACAGGGGGAUAGCCCGUUGAAAGACGGAUUAAUACCCCAUAAAACAGGGGUUCCGCAUGGGACUAUUUGUUAAAGGGUUUUCCGCGAGGGGGAUCCGGUUGUGGAUGGGCAUGCGUUCCAUUAGGCAGUUGGUGGGGUAACGGCUCACCAAACCGACGAUGGAUAGGGGAACCGGGAGGUUGGUCCCCCAACUGGUACUGAGACACGGACCAGACUCCUACGGGAGGCAGCAGUGAGGAAUAUUGGUCAAUGGGCGAAGCCUGAACCAGCCAUGCCGCGUGCAGGAUGACGGCCCUACGGGUUGUAAACUGCUUUUCCCCGGGGCGAAUAACCCCUCGCGAGGGGAGUGGCCGGUACCGGGGAAGUAAGGAGUCGGCGUAACUCGUCGCCAGCAGCCGCGGUAAGAGUCACGUGUA